rnacentral:rRNA from 1 species
GACGAACGCUGGCGGCGUGCUUAACACAUGCAAGUCGAACGAUGAACCCGGAGCUUGCUCUGGGGGAUUAGUGGCGAACGGGUGAGUAACACGUGAGUAACCUGCCCUGGACUCUGGGAUAAGCGUUGGAAACGACGUCUAAUACCGGAUAGGACCUUGGAUCGCAUGAUCUGGGGUGGAAAGUUUUUUCGGUCUGGGAUGGACUCGCGGCCUAUCAGCUUGUUGGUGAGGUAAUGGCUCACCAAGGCGUCGACGGGUAGCCGGCCUGAGAGGGUGACCGGCCACACUGGGACUGAGACACGGCCCAGACUCCUACGGGAGGCAGCAGUGGGGAAUAUUGCAAAAUGGGCGAAAGCCUGAUGCAGCAACGCCGCGUGCGGGAUGACGGCCUUCGGGUUGUAAACCGCUUUUAGUAGGGAAGAAGGGCUUCGGCUUGACGGUACCUGCAGAAAAAGAACCGGCUAACUACGUG